GUAGUCUUACGACAAGGCCAAAGGAAGAAAAUAAACAAAAAACAAAACAGUUAUAAGCUCCAUAUUGUUAUAACGUGCCAUUCUUUUGUUAAAUAUACUGAGUAAAAACGGGCUGGUAAAUUAAAUCUAAUAGGUUUAGGGCAAGGGAUGCCACUGUAUCAAAGUGAAAGGUAACAGUCAAUCUGCCCUUUCGAACGCGGCCUUCGAGUGUUUGGCAGCAACGUCUGUGCUCUAAGGCAGGUCGGACACACGGCUAUAUAUACUUAAGAAUCUGUAAAAUUGGUGUCGUUUUUGGUUGCAUACAGCAUUAUAACGGAAAUCGCGCACAGGAGCGCCAGUAUCUUCUUCAGACGCCUUCCCUCACUAUCUACGGCGCAUUUUACUUGAUUGAUAACUUUCGUUGUCUGUCCCUAGCGGAGAGUCUAACGUAACAAAACGCUUGAUUUCGUCAGUGGAGCAGGGAUCCCUGAGAUAGAAUUAACUGACGCUGUGUCGUAAAAUCACCGAGGAAACAUUUUUAGAAGGUUGAUGUACGAAGAGCUAAACAAAGGGACAAUUGUAUUGCUUGUAUAAUAUAGGUCAACUACCAUACAAAGGAGUCAAAGGACUUGUUGAGCUUUACACCAAGCUCAAAGGCGGAGUGCGACUGGAAAAACCUCCCCAGUGCUCUGAAGAACUGUAUAGGGUGAUGUCGCUUUGUUGGAAGAGUUUCCCAGAGGAUCGCCUCACAUUCAAAGAACUUCAUUUGAGGCUUCACGAGAUAUUGCACACCAAAGCGAGGACCUAUAUCAACGUUCAAUAUUUUGGAGAAAGGCGUAUGGCAAUCGGCGAGGACGUCGUUUAACGUUAACGGAGAAAAUCUGUUACUUGACUAAACUCCCUAUCCCAGGAACAAGAAAAACUAAAUAAAUUACUAUAUUUAGAGAGGAAGCCACA